rnacentral:rRNA from 1 species
GUGUCAGCCGCCGCGGUAAGACAGAGGAGGCUAGCGUUGUUCGGAAUCACUGGGCUUAAAGCGGGUGUAGGCGGCCUGGCAAGUGUCGUGUGAAAGCCCCCGGCUCAACCGGGGAAUUGCAUGGCAAACUGCCAGGCUUGAGGUCGGUAGGGGUGCCUGGAACUCUCGGUGGAGCGGUGAAAUGCGUAGAUAUCGAGAGGAACGCCGGAGGCGAAAGCGGGGCACUGGGCCGAUUCUGACGCUGAGACCCGAAAGCGUGGGGAGCAAACAGGAUUAGAUACCCUGGUAGUCCACGCCCUAAACGAUGUCUACUAGGUUGUGGCCGUUCCGACGCGGUCACGGCCGAAGCGAAAGUGUUAAGUAGGCCGCCUGGGGAGUACGGUCGCAAGGCUAAAACUUAAAGGAAUUGGCGGGG